GUCCUCUUUUCCCCGGACAUGUCCACUUUUCACGUUCUGUCCGGGGCGUCCGGGGGGAUUUUCGAGAUUGAUAAAAACGUCCGGCUUUUCCUAUAUUCCGACAGAGGACCCAUGUGUGUGACAUCAUCCCCGAACUGCUGCUGAGCGCUUGUAAGUUGUUCUGCGCUCUCCGACGGGACAGACAGCCCGCAGGAUGAUGUUUAAAAGAUCCUAAAACGCAAGUGCAUCUUUUCAGACGAACUCCAAAAGAAAUUUCCCUCGUACCGACCCAGUACUGUGAUCUUAUCUGCCUUGAGGAACCUCCAAGAAAAGAUCAGGAGGUUGGAGAUGGAAAAAGGACAUGCAGAGUGGAGUCUGCAUGCACUGGGAAAAGAUGCUUCACAAACACUUGUGCAGAAUGGUGAUAUUACACCGAGAUUCUUAAAUGAUCAAAAAGACCCAGAAAGACAGAAGUGCCCAGUCCAACUGCGUAUGAGUAUGUGGAUAUAUAGUGAUAAUAAUUUAAUUACUUUUAAUAUUGCCAUUAAACAUAAAAAAAUCCAUGGCAGUGACUCCAGAUUACUCACAGCUUGUUUUUCUUAAAGCAUGGUUUGAGUGAAAAACAAACAUCAACAACAAAACCUUAAGUUAAUUGCUCAAGACCUGCAGCAGUCCAAUGAGGAGGCUCACUGGUGUCACAACUUGGGUAGUCACUCUUCCUGUUACAAAUGACGACGACAUAGCACUGAUGAGGCUCACUAGGUCGAUCACAGUGUCAGAUACCAGAAGACCAGUUUGUCUGCCUCAUAAAGACUAUAUCAUUCCAGCUAGAACCUACAUGACUGUGAUGGGUGGGGAUACCAGUCGGAAAAUGGUGAGGAAUCCUACAUGUAACCUAUUCUUUAUUAACUACUACCUGAAACAGAAAAGAUACUUUUGCCUGUCUAUGAGUGUCAAACAUUGUGUGCUUGUGUACUGCCUUCAGGUGCAGUUGACAGCUGACAUUGCCCUUUGUAAUGAUUUGUGCAUCCCUAAAUAAAGGCUCGCUUUUUGUUAAUGUCAUCACUUUGUCUCCAUUGUCUUCACUCGGGUCCACACACACACUCUCCGGCCUUAGCGCAGAACAGUGGUUCUGCUCGAGGCUCAGCUACCUAGCCUGCCGACUCCCUCUUCCUGGAGGAAGCGGCACUCCCGCCGCCAUCACUCUGUGCCUGCUGAGUAACCCCCGGUGGUGGGUGAAAGUGACUAUUUUUCUCAUGCACCUCCCGUGCCUACAAAAGUUAGGACUAAUAACUUCACCUCUAAAACUUUAAAGACUGCUAGCUGUGCUGGACAAUGUGUUUUCCGAGCCUUUUCCUCUGCCUACCCAUGUUUCUGUUCCUAGGGCGCCUGCGGUCCAGCCUUCCCCUGCACCCAUAUCAGUUCCCUGAUUGAGGGUGGCUAGGGCCCAGAUGUUCCCUGUUCCUGCUCCCAGGGCAGCAGUGCUUCAGUCUUUUCCUGCACCUGUACCAGUGCCUCAGGUGAGGGUAGCCGGCGCUCAGCUGGUUCCUCCUUCAGUCUCCAGGCUGGCUGAGGCUCCCUUCGUCCCUAUACCCAAACCUGGUCCUUGGGUGGGGACAGCAAACACCCAGCCGUUACCUGUGCCUGUUCCUACUUCCAGGGUUAAGGCAGCCAUGACCCAGCUUACUCCUGCACCUGUACCUACUCCUCGGGUGGGAGUGGCUAGGGCCCGGCAGAUGCCUACACCCAUUUCUGUCUCCACUGGAGGCUCAGGGGAGCCCGUCCAGCCACCUCCUUUGCCAGCUGGAGGCUCAGGAAAGUCAGUGCAGCCGCCAGCAGCUUCUAAGCAACCACCAGUUCCAACACCAGCUCAACCACCUGCUCCGCCACCUGUUCAAGUGUAGCUUCCCCACUGCCACCUGUGGCUCCCACACUGCCGCCUGUCUCUGCUGGAGGCUCAGCUGAGUCCGCCCACCAUUUCACCUUGUCAGCUAGAAGCUCAGGAGAGCUGUCACAGCCGCCUGCUCCAUCAGAGGUCCUCACUCCAGCUAUUCCUGCCAUACAGCCCAAGGAACUUCGGCUUAUAAUGGAUUUUUUAUUCUAGGGGGACAGUGGAGGCCCUGUGGUGUACCACAGCACCUCAAGAUGGAAUCUGGUAGGAGUGGUGAGCUGAGGUGUUGGCUGUGCCCGGAAGAGAAAGCCAGGUGUUUACACCUACAUGGAAAUAAUGCUCAACUGGAUUCAAACAGUCAGUGGGGUACUGCAUAUGGAUUAAUAAUAGACCCAUGAAUGUUGAAAGGAAGUCACAUCGCAACAGUGUUUGUCCCUUCAUUGACUAAGAAUUUGCCUCAAAAAUAUUUUCAAAAUAAUACUGUAAUGUAAUUCAUACAGUCCCUAAGAUGAUUUUUAUUUCAUCUCAACAUAAAAACCAAUGAUGUCAUCCACUGUGACAAACAACCACCACGAGAAUCCAGUGUGGUCUACCUCUGAUAGAUUGCGAAAGUUAAACAAACCUGUUUUUUCAUAAGCGUCAAAGUAGUCACACAUCCACAGCGACCUUAAAAUACUCUCACUAUAUCCAGAAUAUUCAGACUAGUUUUGCACUCAAGAAAAACUCAUUUGAACAGGAAAUCAACCUGAAUUUGUUUUAAAACUGUUUCUUUACUGAAAAAUGUAGUUUGUUGUAUCAUAUAUAAAAAUAGUUGGACUUGAGUAAGAGUGCCAUGGGGGUUAAUAUUUGUGAAUAUUUUCCUUUUUGUUGUUUAA